AUUGAACGCUGGCGGCAUGCCUUACACAUGCAAGUCGAACGGCAGCGCGGACUUCGGUCUGGCGGCGAGUGGCGAACGGGUGAGUAAUACAUCGGAACGUACCCUGUUGUGGGGGAUAACUAGUCGAAAGAUUAGCUAAUACCGCAUACGACCUGAGGGUGAAAGGGGGGGACAGCAAGGCCUCACGCCGAAGGAACGGCCGAUGUCUGAUUAGCUCGUUGGUGGGGUAAAGGCCCACCAAGGCGACGAUCAGUAGCUGGUCUGAGAGGACGAUCAGCCACACUGGGACUGAGACACGGCCCAGACUCCUACGGGAGGCAGCAGUGGGGAAUUUUGGACAAUGGGGGCAACCCUGAUCCAGCAAUGCCGCGUGUGUGAAGAAGGCCUUCGGGUUGUAAAGCACUUUUGUCCGGAAAGAAAUCGCGCUGGUCAAUACCUGGCGUGGAUGACGGUACCGGAAGAAUAAGCACCGGCUAACUACGUGCCAGCAGCCGCCGUAA
rnacentral:rRNA from 1 species